rnacentral:rRNA from 1 species
AUUGAACGCUGGCGGCAGGCCUAACACAUGCAAGUCGAGCGAGCGGCGGACGGGUGAGUAAUGUCUGGGGAACUGCCCGAUGGAGGGGGAUAACUACUGGAAACGGUAGCUAAUACCGCAUACCAUCGGAUGUGCCCAUAUGGGAUUAGCUUGUAGGUGAGGUAAUGGCUCACCUAGGCGACGAUCCCUAGCUGGUCUGAGAGGAUGACCAGCCACACUGGAACUGAGACACGGUCCAGACUCCUACGGGAGGCAGCAGUGGGGAAUAUUGGACAAUGGGCGAAAGCCUGAUGCAGCCAUGCCGCGUGUGUGAAGAAGGUCUUCGGAUUGUAAAGCACUUUAAGUUGGGAGGCGUUACCAACAGAAUAAGCACCGGCUAACUCCGUGCCAGCAGCCGCGGUAAUAC